rnacentral:misc_RNA from 1 species
AGAUGGUAAUAAUUUUUCUAAUUAAUUUAGUUUAGCGCCAUUUAUAUGCAAGGAAUUGUCUACCAAGGAAAAUGCAUUAAUAGCCAACGCUCUUGUAAUUUUUCUAAUUAAUUUGGUUCAGUUCCAUUAAACUCAAAGCACCAACCCUAAGCCCUAUCACCAGAAAAUGCAUCAUGGACUCCACAGCUGUAGGGUUUUUGUUUUCAACCUGGAAAACAAGCAUCUGGAUUUUGAAUUUUCAUCACUACCCAGUUGAAAGAGACAAAAAAACCUCCGCAACACCUGACCCCACCAAAAAAUCAGCUUGAGGCUUGCACGAGCUGUUGGGACACAAACAAACAAGUGUAGCAUAAAUUGGAGAACGCAGGGCACAGCUUUAUAAUAGAAUCAACCGUUUACAACAAGUUGACCAGCUAAGACACCCAACUAAAUCAGAAUUUUCUGGUCUGAGGACGUAAGAAAAACCCCCCAAGUUUAUAUAACAGUUGCGCCAAAGGUUCACUAUGACCACCAAAUAUCUUCUUUGGCAGGGUCCACAAAGCUUUUCACAGAAACAAAUACCUUCUGAAAACUUGCACAUAACGAGGUUAGCAGAUGGAUGAGAAUUUAUCACAAAAACCAUAAAACUGCCAGUCGAUGUUCCCAGAUAUCAACAUCCUUGAGUGACAAGCCUCACUUCAUUAGCUACCACACCCACAUUGUGCAAACAUCCAUACAAAAACUGGAAAGCAUAAUAAAAUGAUGAAAUUUAACUAUGUGAAACCAAUGUGAAAUGAAAUCAUAAGCAUGUUAAAUUGGGAUACCCCUUGAGCAACAGGUGAAUACUCUAAAAAAUCAAAUACUCAAUGACCCUAAAUUGCAAGCACCCAAAUGCAUUCCCAUACUAAAGUGAAAAGAAACAGUAGCUAUUGUUCACCAAUAAGUUUUCUGCCACCAACCGCACCCAAAAUAAAUAAAUAAAUGAAAAGAGAAAAGAAAAGGAGAGAGUGAGAACAAUAGAGGAAUAUACAAGCAAGGAUGCAAUUAUAAGGUUUCUAACAUAAUGCCCAUCAACUAGAACAGCUAAGUUUUAUAAAAAGAUGCCAACAGAAAUUCAGCAAAUGACAUGUUUAAGUGCUUUAAUAAACAAGUAGCUCAUGCAUGUCUGGUUAAUAGUUCAAGACCGCUGACUGCAAUGCUUAAUUAUUCUGGCCCCUAUACAAUUUAGUGAGGCACACAACACAAAAUGAAUAACUAGUUAAUAACUAAAUAGGACUUACUAAUCAUUAUGCCAUAUCCUUAACCAAAAAUCUAAAUAGCACAUUCUAAAUCAACGUUCUUCAGCAUAACUUAACCAAACAAGAACCCUCAUCAACAAUAUGGAAUCCGCCACAAGAAAAGUCUUUGGCAUCACAAGCACUCAUUGAUAAGACAGUUCCCUUUACUACAAACUUCCAUUUUCCAUUGAAGAAACAACAUUAAGAGUUCAUGGGUAAUAACAGAAAUACACAUAUAGGUAUGAGGAAGGAUGUGAAUGGGCCAAUCAGCAUAGACGAAAUUAGAUAAGGAAACUUGGUGAUGUAAGGGUAGGCUAAGCCGGCCUCCAAAAACACCCAGUCAAAAGGGACUACCCGCUAUUGACUAUAAAUGUUACUUCUAAAUCAUCAUGCCAUUUCUCUAUACAAGCUCCCUUGUUCCUAGUCCCAAAAUUACAUUUCAUAAACAUAGUUGAACCAAACAUCAGCAACUCUCUUUAAAUAACAUGAAUGCUUGUACCACAACACCAUCCCUAACAACAUACGAACUGCUAAACCAACUCAUAAAUUAUUAGUAUCUCUCACAGGCUCAGAAAUUUAUUUUCAACAUAGAAGUAUUGCCCUAAAGCAAUCAACUUGAACUAUGCAACUCCGCAUCUUUGGUAAAUCAAUUUCUUAAAUGCAUGUUUCACAGCAAACACUAUAUGCUCAGAUUCAAAAAUAAAUAUCUACAUGACAAAAUUAACUAUUGACCAAUUUAUGAAACAAUAUGAGCACUCCUGAAACCCAAUAUAUGUUUUGAGUUCUGUCACCUGCCACAUAAAAGCUACGAAGAGACAUCAGAAUAAUAAAACAAGCUAAAGGAAGAAAAAAAAAAGGAGGAAGCAG